rnacentral:lncRNA from 10 species
CAUCUAACAUAUGUGCGUGUGUGUGUGUAAAUAUAUAAUAAAGCCUUGUAGAGGUUUUUGGGGGGCUUUAGGGGAAUUAAUAAAAUAACUCCUGAAUGAAAAUAACAGAACAAUUGCAAGAAUCCCACUGCGCCCCUGCCCCAUGACUUGACUCUCUCAAAAGUCCUUUCUCCCCUCUCCCUUCAAUGCCUUCAAUGCCAGCAAGCCUUCAAUGCCACGGCUGUGGUGCGGCACAUGAGGAAACUGCAGCUGGGCACCAGCCAGGAGGGGCAGGGGCAGACGGCGAGCCAUGGGGAGCUGCUGACACCAGUGGCUGGGGGGCCGGCAGCUGGCUGUUGCUGUCGAGACUGCUGCGUGGAGCCGGGCACAGAACUGUCCCCCACACUGCCCCACCAGCUCUAGGGCCCUGGACCUCGGGUCAUGAUCCUCUGCGUGGGAGGGCUUGGGGGCAGCCUGCUCCCCUUCCCUCCCUGAACCGGGAGUUUCUCUGCCCUGUCCCCUCCUCACCUGCUUCCCUACCACUCCUCACUGCAUUUUCCAUACAAAUGUUUCUAUUUUAUUGUUCCUUCUUGUAAUAAAGGGAAGAU